GCUCUUGUAGCUCAGGGGUAGAGCACUUCCUUGGUAAGGAAGAGGUCAUGGGUUCAAAUCCCAUCAAGAGCUCCA
rnacentral:tRNA from 1 species